UAAUAAGGUCAAAUUUCAUUUUGUCCUCUAUGAUGCAGGGGUCAGGACUACUAAGAGCAUGUGUCACAAUGGACACCUCACAAUGAAAUGUCACAGAGACCUGUCUGUUCAGCACUCGAUGAGGCUUGGGGGAAAGGGUAUAAAUAGCCAAGAGCCACACUGAGCUGGAGUUAACAAACAGCAGCAGCAGCAGCAGGAUCAGUGAAUCUGAACCUAGUAGAGGCUUCAGCAAGAAGGAGUAAUCGGUCAGAACAUCUUCUGGCUCAAAGAGGGAAGGCAAUUUGGUUCAGCUGGAAUCUCAAGCCAUGAAAAUUUGAAAAGGACAAAUAGAUUCCAAGAUUUCUGCAGUGAGGAUAAAGAGAUACUCCACACCAGAAGAUUUCACAAAGGACACUCCACAUCCCGAAGUUUCUCCAAUAUAAAGAAUUUUUGGCUAAAGACCGAGACCAACAAAUUGUUUCUCCAGGGAACAAAUAGAAAACUUUCCUAGGAGGUGCAGAGCAAUUAACAUGUGAAGAAUUUACCAAGAUCAAACUCCUUCUCCAAUGCUGAAUGUUACUGACAUUUUUGUAUAAUAAUAAACUGUUUAUAAAAUCAAAA